UUGGGAAUCUUGGGCAAUGGGCGCAAGCCUGACCCAGCGACGCCGCGUGGGGGAUGAAGGCCUUCGGGUCGUAAACCCCUGUCAGGAGGGACGAAGCCCGCUGCAAGGCGGGUGACGGUACCUCCAGAGGAAGCCCCGGCUAACUACGUGCCAGCAGCCGCGGUAAGACGUAGGGGGCGAGCGUUGCCCGGAUUCACUGGGCGUAAAGCGGGUGUAGGCGGCCGGGUAAGUCCCGUGUGAAAGCCCACGGCUCAACCGUGGGACGUCGCGGGAAACUGCUCGGCUUGAGGGCAGUAGAGGGUGGUGGAAUUCCCGGUGUAGCGGUGAAAUGCGUAGAGAUCGGGAGGAACGCCAGUGGCGAAGGCGGCCACCUGGGCUGUCCCUGACGCUGAGACCCGAAAGCUAGGGGAGCGAACGGG
rnacentral:rRNA from 1 species